GAUGAAGAACGCAGCGAAAUGCGAUAAGUAAUGUGAAUUGCAGAAUUCAGUGAAUCAUCGAAUCUUUGAACGCACCUUGCGCCCUUUGGCCAUUCCGAAGGGCAUGCCUGUUUGAGUAUCAUGAACACCUCAACUCUUUAUGGUUUUCCAUGAUGAGCUUGGACUUUGGGGGUUUUGCUGGCCUAUGGUCGGCUCCUCUAAAAUAAAUCAGCUUACCGGUGUUUGGUGGGUAUCAUGGGUGUGAUAACUAUCUACGCUUGUGGUUUUCCCACCAGGUAACCUUCGACAGCGGAGGUUCACUGGAGCUCAUAGAUGUCUCUCCUCAGCGAGGACAGCCCUUUGAAUGUUUGAUCUCAAAUCAGGUAGGACUACCCGCUGAACUUAAGCAUAUCAAUAAGCGGAGGA
rnacentral:misc_RNA from 1 species